rnacentral:rRNA from 1 species
CACGUAGGGUGCAAGCGUUGUCCGGAUUCAUUGGGCGUAAAGCGCUUUAAGGCGGUUCGGUAAGUCGGGUGUGAAACCUCCAGGCUCAACCUGGAGACGCCACUCGAUACUGCUGUGACUAGAGUUCGGUAGGGGAUCACGGAAUUCCUGGUGUAGCGGUGAAAUGCGCAGAUAUCAGGAGGAACACCGGUGGCGAAGGCGGUGAUCUGGGCCGACACUGACGCUGUAGAGCGAAAGCGUGGGGAGCGAACAGG